rnacentral:rRNA from 1 species
CUAGGGAAUAGAUACCCUAUUAUUUUAACUUUAAAAAUAUAGAUUUUAAUAUUAAUAGUUAUGUUCUUUAAAUUAAAAGAAUUUGGCGGUAAUUUAAUCUUUCCAGAGGAAUUUGUCAAGUAAUCGAUAAUCCACGUUUAAUUUUACUUUAAUUAAAAAUUUGUAUACCUCUGUUAUUGAAUGUUCUUUAAAGAUAUUUUCUAUAAAUUUUAUGAAUAAAAUAUCAGGUCAAGGUGCAGUUAUAUUAAAGUUUGGAUGAAUUACAUUUUUAUUAAAAUUGGAUUUUAAUAUGAAAUAUAUUUUAUUAAAUUGGAUUUGGAAGUAAUUUAAUUUAUUUAAAUUUUUUGAUUUGUGUUCUAAAUUAUGUACAUAUC